GAGAUCCUGACCAGAGAUUCCAGUUAAGCUGUGCCUGGAUUUCUUGACCCAAGAAAACUGAAAGAAUAAGCUUAAUCAGGUUUCUGAUGAACAGAAAACAUCCCCCAAACAACAGCAGAAUCCUGUGGAGUCCAGGAAUAGUAUAUGAUUUCUUCAAAGUAAAACUGAAAUGUUGUCUGCAAGAUUAUAAACCUAUUAUGGACUCAAAUCAUACCUACGUUCAAAUGUAAACCAUAGAGGAGGGAGAAAAAAGAACCGAAAGUCAAGAGUCCUCUUGGCAUGGAAAGGACACUUUAUAUUCCUCUUUGCAGAUUCCCUCUCUACAAGAUCAAGCUCUCUGUCUAUAUCCUGGAGAAUCUUGGCCCGUG